CUGCCCAGUGACUCUGUUCAACGGCCGCGGUAUCCUAACCGUGCGAAGGUAGCGUAAUCACUUGUUCUUUAAAUGAGGACUAGUAUGAAUGGCAUCACGAAGGUUAUACUGUCUCCUUUUUCCAAUCAGUGAAACUAAUCUCCCCGUGAAGAAGCGGGGAUAAUAAUAUAAGACGAGAAGACCCUAUGGAGCUUUAAACUAAAUAGCACCUGCUCUUUAUGUAUGCUCUUCUUCAGAGAAAUUAACAUUUACUUUAGCUUGUUGACUAUUAGUUUUGGGUUGGGGUGACCGCGGAGCACAAAACAACCUCCACGUUGAAUGGGGCUACCCCCUGAGCAAAGAGCUACAACUCUACGCACCAACAAAUUGACAUCAAUUGACCCAAUAUAUUGAUCAACGAACCAAGUUACCCUAGGGAUAACAGCGCAAUCCGUUUCAAGAGCUCCUAUCGACAAACGGGUUUACGACCUCGAUGUUGGAUCAGGGUAUCCCAGUGGUGCAGCCGCUACUAAAGGUUCGUUUGUUCAACGAUUAAAACCCUACGUGAUCUG
rnacentral:rRNA from 1 species